UACUAGCACAUAUGUCAAAUUCCUAAUUAACGUUUUAUUUUUAUAUCCAUCGUUUCUUAGAGCCGUAAUUGUGCUGAUAUCAUAUCCAGGGAAGAACCUACCAAUAAAAGUUGCCAAGUGCAAUGACGCUCGCGGCGUCUCCUAGGCCAUGGGCGUGUUCGGAAACUACUCCCACAUAC
rnacentral:snoRNA from 20 species